rnacentral:lncRNA from 1 species
AUGGCUUGUGGCCCCAACCCUUACUGCAGAGACAGUGCCCCACUCCUUGUCCCUUGGGAAAUCUCAGUCUGAGAUUAGGGCCAAUAGGUGGCCCUAGCAGACCCUUCCUUGAAGCUCAGAGAGAUGAAUUCCAAGAGAGUGGGGCUACACAGAUGAAGACAGGGCAAAGGAGGCAAGACUCUGUCUCUAAGGGAAGAGGGGAGCCAUGGAUGUCCCCCUAGAAGGGACUUAGAACAAACUCCUAGUCAGUUGAGUGAGUUCAAUGGCUGAAAAGAGAUGCUGAGCAUCAAUUUAGACUUCCAU